UUGAAGGUUGGCGGUGUUGCCCUGGCGCUGGCCGGCCUGGGCCUGGCCGGGCACCUGAUGGCCCGCGACAGCUACGGUGCCAUGCCGUCGCUGUCGGG
rnacentral:tRNA from 1 species